GACGAACGCUGGCGGCGUGCCUAAUACAUGCAAGUAGAACGCUGAAGGAGGAGCUUGCUCUUCUGGAUGAGUUGCGAACGGGUGAGUAACGCGUAGGUAACCUGCCUGGUAGCGGGGGAUAACUAUUGGAAACGAUAGCUAAUACCGCAUAACAGUAGAUGUUGCAUGACAUUUACUUAAAAGGUGCAAUUGCAUCACUACCAGAUGGACCUGCGUUGUAUUAGCUAGUUGGUGGGGUAACGGCUCACCAAGGCGACGAUACAUAGCCGACCUGAGAGGGGGGUCGGCCCAACUGGGAAUGAGACACGGCCCAGACUCCUACGGGAGGCAGCAGUAGGGAAUCUUCGGCAAUGGACGGAAGUCUGACCGAGCAACGCCGCGUGAGUGAAGAAGGUUUUCGGAUCGUAAAGCUCUGUUGUAAGAGAAGAACGAGUGUGAGAGUGGAAAGUUCACACUGUGACGGUAUCUUACCAGAAAGGGACGGCUAACUACGUG
rnacentral:rRNA from 1 species